rnacentral:lncRNA from 1 species
CUCGCCCAUAAGCACUCGAAUAUUUGGUCGUUGUCUUAGUCAGUACUCGCUAGGCUCUGUAGACAUCCACCAAAUUUACUAACUGACAUUUACAGCAAACAUGACAGCAACAGUCAGCAGGAACAAGAGCUACACAGACAAAACAACAACAGCAACAGCAGCAGGCCUACUGAGGGGCCACAUACAAAAUUUGAUUUUUGUGUCAGUUAGUCAGAAAACUGCACUGAAUUAUGCUGAGCCGGUCGGGGUGUUGUGGGUGUGCUAGGCUAGGCACGGAAUGGCUGUAUGCAUGAAUGAUUUGUUGGCGAUUCGGUUAGAUUUUUUGAUGUUUUACUAUUUUUGCUGGCCAAGAGGUUGUGAAGCCAUUGGAUGGUCGUGACGUUGCGUUAAUUGCCACUGCAACACAAGGACAUGGCCAACAACUGCAGACAAGAAAAACAAACCAGAAACACAACAUUGCCUCUAACUACUCAGGUGUCUGAGGUACAACUUGAUGUUAAUCCUUGGGUAACUCCUCUAAUCGGACCGUGUCGUGCCACACACCAAAUGUGAAAGUUGCAACUUUAUGAGGCAAAGAAGAUCUCCUUACUGCCUUCUGAGCAAGUAACUACGGCGCUCCUUGUUGCAGACUUCUUCAGCCAUUGACCCAUCCGACGCAGCUACUUACCACCAGGCAGCAUUAUCCACAGCGGUAAUCGCUACAGGAACAAGGUAGACCACACAACUUAUCUCCCACCCCACGCACAGUGACAGGCCUCCCAAUGCACACGGCGCUACCACAACUGAACUGCAACAGACUCCAGGGCAAGAUCGAAGAGAUAAUCCCCUUUAUGGGUCGGUAUGACAUACUGAAAGAUCUGGUCCAUGUAAUGGAGUUGCACAGUAAUUUGACUCUGUUGAAUUCCGACGCCAAAAAUUUGCUCCGUAAAAUAGUGAUGAAGACAAUCCUGGAGGUCCUAUAUCAGAUUAGAUAUAUGGCUGGUAUAUGAUAUAGUGCCUAGGACCGAACAAACUCUAUAGUACAUAUCUAAACCGAAUUUCGGGCUGAUAACUUCAAAUCUAUGUGCGAUUCGUGACCGAUUUUCGAAGGGCUCUUUGGUUCUUUGUACUUAUUUUUUGGGUUAUUCUGAGAUCAUUUUCCGGUUCUUUCGGAACCGUUUUUCAGUUCUUUUGGAAUACAGUUGCAGUUCUUCCCAAACCGUUUUUUUUUUUGUUCUUUUGGAAUCGAGUUUCGGUUCUUCCGGAACCGUUUAAUGGUUUUUUGGGAAUAAAAUUUCUGUUCUGCCAGAACCGUUUCUCUGUUCUUUUGGAAUCGAAUCUCGGUUCUUCUGGAACCGCUUUUUUUGGUUUAUUUGUAUUCGAGUUUCGGUUCUUCUAGAACCGUUUUUCUGUUCUUUUGGAAUCGAGUUUUGGUUCCGUUAGAACCGUUUUUCGGGUCUUGUAAGAACCGGACCGGUCGGUUCCUGAAAGGACCCGGUUAUUCGGUUCCGGUUUUAGAUUUCACACAUCCUAGAUAUAUAUUUUUAUCUAAGCUUGAAGCUAAUAAUGCCUAAUAUUGCCAUUAAGUCUGUAACUUUUAUCUUUAAGUUGAUUUUGUACCGCUACUCUGUAAGGAUUUGUUAGCAUAU